rnacentral:rRNA from 1 species
AAAAACUCCGGUGGUAUGGGGUGGACCCGCGUCUGAUUAGCCAGUUGGCAGGGUAACGGCCUACCAAAGCGACGAUCAGUAGCCGGCCUGAGAGGGUGGACGGCCACAUUGGGACUGAGACACGGCCCAAACUCCUACGGGAGGCAGCAGUGGGGAAUAUUGCACAAUGGGGGAAACCCUGAUGCAGCGACGCCGCGUGAGUGAAGAAGUAUUUCGGUAUGUAAAGCUCUAUCAGCAGGAACGAGACAAGACGGUACCUGACUAAGAAGCCCCGGCUAACUACGUGCCAGCAGCCGCGGUAAUACGUAGGGGGCAAGCGUUAUCCGGAAUCACUGGGUGUAAAGGGAGCGUAGACGGCUGAGCAAGCCUGAAGUGAAAGGCGGGGGCCCAACCCCCGGACUGCUUUGGGAACUGUACGGCUGGAGUGCAGGAGAGGUAAGUGGAAUUCCUAGUGUAGCGGUGAAAUGCGUAGAUAUUAGGAGGAACACCAGUGGCGAAGGCGGCUUACUGGACUGUAACUGACGUUGAGGCUCGAAAGCGUGGGGAGCAAACAGGAUUAGAUACCCUGGUAGUCCACGCCGUAAACGAUGAUUACUAGGUGUCGGGGGGCAGAGGCCCUUCG